rnacentral:piRNA from 1 species
UGUCAAUUUUCUAUUUCGUAG